UACGUAGGGACCAAGCGUUGUUCGGAUUUACUGGGCGUAAAGGGCGCGUAGGCGGCGCGGUAAGUCACUUGUGAAAUCUCUGAGCUUAACUCAGAACGGCCAAGUGAUACUGCAGUGCUAGAGUGUGGAAGGGGCAAUCGGAAUUCUUGGUGUAGCGGUGAAAUGCGUAGAUAUCGGGAGGAACACCGGUGGCGAAGGCGGUUCUCUGGGCCUUACCUGACGCUGAGGAGCGAAAGCGUGGGGAGCGAACAGG
rnacentral:rRNA from 1 species